rnacentral:rRNA from 1 species
UGCCAGCAGCCGCGGUAAUACUGCGGGUGCAAUCAUGGUUCGGAAUUAUUGGGCGUAAAGAGCAUGUAGGCGGACUGUUAAGUCUGAUGUGAAAGCCCGGGGCUCAACCCCGGAAGUGCAUUGGAUACUGGCAGUCUUGAGUAUGGGAGAGGAAAGUGGAAUUCCGGGUGUAGGAGUGAAAUCCGUAGAUAUUCGGAGGAACACCAGUGGCGAAGGCGGCUUUCUGGACCAAUACUGACGCUGAGAUGCGAAAGCGUGGGGAGCAAACAGGAUUAGAUA